AACCUCCGCAAUGUGAGAAAUCGCGACGGGGGGAUCCCAAGUGCCAUUCUUAACGGGAUGGCUUUUCAUUAGUGUAAAGAGCUUUUGGAAUAAGAGCUGGGCAAGACCGGUGCCAGCCGCCGCGGUAACACCGGCAGCUCUAGUGGUAGCAAUUUUUAUUGGGCCUAAAGCGUCCGUAGCCGGUUUAAUAAGUCUCUGGUGAAAUCCUGUAGCUUAACUGUGGGAAUUGCUGGAGAUACUAUUAGACUUGAGACCGGGAGAGGUUAGAGGUACUCCCAGGGUAGAGGUGAAAUUCUGUAAUCCUGGGAGGACCGCCUGUUGCGAAGGCGUCUAACUGGAACGGUUCUGACGGUGAGGGACGAAAGUUAGGGGCGCGAACCGGAUUAGAUACCCGGGUAGUCCUAACUGUAAACGAUGCGGACUUGGUGUUGGGGUGGCUUUGAGCUGCUCCAGUGCCGAAGGGAAGCUGUUAAGUCCGCCGCCUGGGAAGUACGGUCGCAAGACUGAAACUUAAAGGAAUU
rnacentral:rRNA from 1 species